rnacentral:rRNA from 1 species
AACGAACGCUGGCGGCAGGCUUAACACAUGCAAGUCGAGCGGACCUUUCGGGGUCAGCGGCGGACGGGUGAGUAACGCGUGGGAACGUGCCCUUCUCUACGGAAUAGUCUCGGGAAACUGGGGGUAAUACCGUAUACGCUCUUCGGAGGAAAGAUUUAUCGGAGAGGGAUCGGCCCGCGUUGGAUUAGGUAGUUGGUGGGGUAACGGCCUACCAAGCCGACGAUCCAUAGCUGGUUUGAGAGGAUGAUCAGCCACACUGGGACUGAGACACGGCCCAGACUCCUACGGGAGGCAGCAGCGGGGAAUCUUGGACAAUGGGGGGAACCCUGAUCCAGCCAUGCCGCGUGAGCGAUGAAGGCCUUAGGGCUGUAAAGCUCUUUCAGCUGGGAAGAUAAUGACGGUACCGGCAGAAGAAGCCCCGGCUAACUCCGUGCCAGCCGCCGCCGUAACAC